AUCAUGACCUGAGUCCAAGUUGGAUGCUUAACCGACUGAGCCACCAGGUGCCCCUCCACCUUUUAAACAUGCUUUCCCAGCUGCAGAGAGAUCCUAAGCAGAAUCUUGGUGUUGUUCCAUACAGAAGUGGAGAAGAGUAUUAAACCAUAUUUAAGAAUAAUAAUAAUAAAAGAGGUAGGCUGAUGACAGCUGAAGAAGACUGUAUUUGCUGAGGAGCAGCAUGAUGGUAGAGAGGAGCAGAGCUCCUGAGGGAGACCUAAUGGUUCCUCUCCUUCCUGCACGGAGAUAAAGACUUAUAAUAAGCGUGCAUGUUCACCAUCUGGCUCUGUGCAUGUGGUCCUUAUGGAGGGGAAAGCAGCACAAUCUGUAAAUGAUCAGGAGCCAUGGCGCUCUCUCCAGAGAAUCCACGAUGCAAUCAAGGUGACAGAUGGCAUGGCCACUGCUGUGGCCUCAUGGAGAAGAUCAAAAUCACCUUCAAUAAACUCUGACUGAAAUGGGCAUGAGCACCUCAAAAAAGUCAGUUUGUCAGUCAAACUGCGACAGCAAGCUGCAUUGGGGAAACAUAGCGGCCAGCUCUCUGUUUUCAAUCGUUUCCGUCUGACUGGGCCUGAACUAUGAUCUUUCUCAAAUUGUCCUUUCUGUUUAGCUGAAGCAGGCCAGCAAAUUGCCAGACUCAUUGCUUUAUUGAAGAAAAUUGAAAACACGAUGUCCUCAAUUCCGGGGACGCACGACUGGCAGGUGCUGGGACACCCAAGCUCUGAGAGUAGAUCCCCGUGUCUUCAGCCCAAGUUUGCUCAACUUUAGGCAGAUUUUUGGAUACGAAAAUAAAAUGCAAAUAUGUGCCUGGCCUGAAAAGAUCAGCUGGCAAUGGAUAUGUGAAGGGUAUUAGAUGUCCAAUAAAUGUGUGUAGAAUAAACACAUGCUUGAAAGGAAAAGGAGGAAGGGAGGAAGGAAGGAAAGAGACAAAGUCUCCGUGUUGUUGGUUCCAUGUAUUUUGACAGCAGGCUGCCUUGAUGAUAGAUUCGCUCUCCAUUUCCUUUUCUGUGCAUGUUUAUCGAAUAUAGAUUGCUGUGAACUUGAAGCCUGGGACAUAAGAUCAGUGAAAUACAGGUGUAACAUUUUGUCCUAAACAAAUUGUAUAGAAUUUGUAGAGGUCAACGAGUUCAGACAAAUUUCCGUUUUUGACCCCCUUCCUUCCACAGCUGAAACAUUUUUGAAAGGUCCAACUGCUCAUAAAACUAGAAGGGGAUGAGUAAAAGUUACCUGUAGUGGGAGAAAAAUACUGUACUGUCUUUUUGAGAGGUAAGGGCACUGAUUUCAGGUCAAAGAUGAUGGAUCUUAAUGAAAGGACUCUCCCCCUCCCUCUCCCUCCUCCUCCCUUGGCAGAGUUCCACUGUUGUUCUUCCUCCCAAGCUCCAGGAAAUGUACAUUUCAAGCAAAAGUCGACUUUCCCAACCUUGUGGUUUCCCCAGAACCCUGUAUCUGUUCUCUGAUCCUGGUGUUUUAUAUUAUUAAGCCUGUGAGGAGAUCUCACAAUUCCAACAUCCCAUUGAUUUUCCUACUCGAGACCAUAAUCUUCUAGUUUGCAUACUUGCUUUAUUUAAAAUCCAAAUCCUGCUCCUGCCCCUGUCCCCAUACUCCAUGUUGUAAAUUAUUUGCUUGACAGCUGAGAAAUAUCUUACUAUUGGGUCCUGGAUUCUCAUAAUGGCUUUCUUUUCCCUCAUAGUUGCUUCUGAAUGCUAAUGUCCUGCUGUAGAGAUUUAUAAACAACUGAAGGACUUCAGCUCUAAUCGGUGUACACAAAGCGAGAGAAACUAUGAAAAGGGGCUCAUAUUUUGAGUAACAGAAAUAGCAAGAACUUCAUAUAAGGACUGUCUUUUCACAGAACAUGUAAGUGUAGCUGACUUGUUAUGUGUCACAGUUCCAUGUGGUCUCCUGGGAGCCAGGGACUAAAUUUAUUCAGGAGGAAAUAUCUAUGGAGUGCUGAACACCUACUAGGUAUAGGCUGUGUCAGGAGCUGAGAAAUAAAACUUCAUAAAGAAAAGUAGGUAUCACACAGCACUUUUAUGGGCAUUCUCCCCUCGGGCUGGCUCUCUGCUGAGCCCGUUUGCAUUCUCAUCAAUAAUAGCUCUUGUGGAACACAGGACCCAGACGUGUGGGCUGGUGGGAGCAUGCUGUCCUGUCCCUGGAGACGCUGUGUGUAUUCUCCAUCCUGGCCUUUGGCUCUCUGGAAUGACAGGGUCUGUAAUAGACAUGUUCAUCAACACGGCCACAAGGAGGGGUGGCAGGAUGGGUCAUUUCUGUCUAUCGGUAGCAGUUUCUUCCCCCCAGACUCCAGCUGCUCACAUGGAGUUAUGCUUCAGAAAGGCAAAUGGGUCUAAUCCUUUCCUUAAGGAAAGGCCCCAUAAUCAUAUGGGGAAAUUCAGCAGGGGCCAGAAGGCUGAAGUAGCCUACACUGGAACACGAAUGUUGCGAGGCAACCAGCAGGAAAUUUAGUAAUCAGAGCUCAGCCUAAAUUCAGAUAAUUACGUUCAAGUUCUCUCUGGCAUGCAGUGUCACCUGAUCGUAUGCAAAUUGUGUAACCAUAUAUCAUUACUCUCUUUUAUGUCCUAUCAUUCCUAAAUAAUAAAUUGCUUAGAGAAAGUUUCUUGUGGUAAUUUGCAAAUGUGAGUCUGAAAGCAGAGCUUUUCCUUUAUAAUGCUGCACAUAUACCCUUGCUCUCUCGGCCCGUGGGUGCGGCAGGUAAGAAGAUAUGCAGAUCUUCAGAUCCCACAGGCUCUGAAACUCACAAGGAGGAUGGCUUGUGGUCAGAAUAUGGACAGUAGCUGCAACAUGGACUGAAUAAUUUUUAAUCAUGGAGAAUGCUUUUUAUUUUAAUGUUUUGAAAGAUUGACACAAUGCUGAAAGGAGAGGCUACACAGAAAUUUUAAAAGGUGCACACAAGAAGAUAAGCAAUCUAUUAAAAACUCAGAUUUUGAAAGCAUGCCAUUGGCCUGAAAUGGCCUUGGGGUAACAGUAAUAAAUGAAUGUUCAUUUCCCAAGUUCUCCGUGCACCAAGCCGUUUGGACUUCUCAAGAGGACAAUGCUGUCUUCUUUCAAAAGAGGGAGUAGAUGGCUUGCUACCACUAAAACAGCUCAGACAUAGCUCUACUGAUUUGGGAACAAAGAAAUGGAAUGUGGUUUUGUGUGUGUAGGAUGUCAUCAUAUGAGCUCACACCAGCUCUAAAUUGGGUAUUUGGAGGCUACUACAUCUUUUGGUCAGAUUUCAAAUCAAACCGCCAAUGUCUGCAUUUUUCUGUCCAUGCUUCUCUGAACAAGAAUGAUGGUGAAUGAGGAUGCCACCCUGUACCUCAAAUGUUUCUCAAGCUGCUGGUGUGUUUUGGUUCAGCUUUCAUGAUUUUUUAUACCAGUUUGUGACUUAAAAAAAAAAAAGCUCUCAGCAAAAUAUUUCUGUUAUAGUAUGAUGUCGUGCUUAGAAAGGUUAAUAAACGUUUUACAGAACACA